CUGUUUUUUUUUUUUUUUUUUUUUUUUUUAGUCCAUUCAGCCACUGUAUGUCUUUUGAUUGGAGCAUUUAAUUCAUUUACACUCAAUUAAUGAUAGGUUUUCAGGUGCUGGUUCCAUGGCUCUUCCUGAGCCGAAAAUAAGGAAACUCCAUAGACCUUGUCCACUGGAACUCGUUCCCAUCUACCCUCCACUCUAUCCAGGGUGAUGGAUCUCUGCAGUAAGUGGAAGAGUUCUUCAUGGCCCCCAAGGUUAUAUCCAUCUAGAACUUCAGCACGUAAUUUCAUCUGGAAAUAGUGCCUUUGCGGAUAUAAGUUAGGUAAAACUGAAGAUGAGAUCAUACUGGAUUAGGAUGGGAUCUAAAUCCAAUGAAAAUGUCUUCAUAAAAAACAGGAAAGAACCCAUAGAAACACAAGGAAGAAGGUCAUGUGAAGAUGGAGGCAGAGAUUGGAGGGAUGCAGCCACCGGCCCAGGAAUGCCAGCAGCCACCCAGAAGCUGGAAGGAAAUGAGGGAUUCUCUCCUAGAACCUUUAGAGAGAACAUGGUCCUGUGAACAGCUUGAUUUUGGACUUGCCCAUAGCUUGUAUACUCUUACUUUGGAUACAAUUUUAUCCAAACUUGGCUAAACAGUUUCUCAGCCUAUGGAAAAUUUAAAAUGGAGAAGAUUCAACUCGAUUCUUACAGAUUCAAAGCAAGAAAAUGAUGGGAACAUAGGAGGAGACCAAGAAAGCCUAUAAAAAGCAAAAAUAUGAAGUGAACAUUGUGGUAGCUUUAAGAUGUUUAGUGUAGCUGCAGGCACCCUAUACACAUGAAAACCCCCAAGGGGAAUCCCCAUAUCACAGUGUAGUGUGAUAUUUGACAUUCGUGAUCAUCUAGAGAUGUACAGAAAAGGUGAAUCUGUGUUCUGUAUAUUCUGCCUAAGGCAAAGAAAUGUUUAGCUCUCUUUAAAAUAGUUCCAUAAUUUUUUCUAAAAAGCUUUGCUUGAAAACUGUAAGCUUCCCAUAUCUGGAGCAUUUCACUUUAAAUAUUUGGAUAAAUAUGUUAUCUUCUUACUUGGACAUUUCAUGUGUUUAGGGAUUGUCUUCUAAAUUCUUCCUAAUUCAUAUAGCUGCUAACACUUCCCGCAGAGCUAAACCAUUACAGAUAUGAAAUAAAGACCUAUUGAUUUGACUUACUUUUACUUGUAAAACCUUCUGAGUGUUAUAACCUCAUUUAAUCUUUCAGCAUUUACAGUUUCAAGAGUUUGUGUCACAAUUAGAAGAAUUCAGCUGCACCUCCAAGUGACAGCAGUUGCUCUGGUUGGUGGGUGAUCUCAGGAGGCUUGAGAAUUGCUUUGUCUGUGAGGGAAGUAAGACAUUUUCAGAGCCCCACUUUAGAAGGUGUGAACUGGCUAGAUAAUGAACCCCAGGGCUAACGCUGCUAUAGCAGUGGGAAGGAGGUGAUGGGUUUUCAGUUUGGACCUCAAACAUCAAUACCCUCCUGGUACGGGGAGGAACAGAGUCCCUCCUUUACUUCUCCAUUAGAAAGAAUGAGAUGGCAAGACAAUGAAACAGGCAAAGUGAACAGAGAUGCAAGACAAAAUUCAGGUGAGAGAGCCAGAGCAUCACUCAGCCAUUCCUGACAUGUAAAACAGGCAACUAGAAAUUUGCAGAAAGGAAGCGAAGUCUCCAUAAAGAUGUUUUUAAAGUGAGCUUGAAGUAUUUGGAGACAAUUCAGUGUUACAUAAAAUCUGCAAAUCUCUGGAUAAAGAAGCAGAGAUCCCAGCAUGGGACAAAUGGAGCCUCAAAAGUGGGAAGAAGACAGAGAAGACCAGGGCAGAAUGCAUCUCUUCCUUUCUCUUGGCUUUCCUGGAUAAGGACUGCAUCAUUCCUGUGGAAGGACAGGCCAUCAGCUCCGAAACACUGUAUGUAUUUUCCAGUAUAUACUGCUAGCUGUGUGAUGUUGGGAAAAUUUGUUACCCUGUCUAACCCCCACUUCCCUCAUCUGUAAAAUGGAAAUAAUGAUAGUACCUACCUAUCUCAUAGGUGGCAACUACAAGGGGCAGCACACUCAGGGAAUUAAGGAAGUUUCAGUGAACAUCAACUUUAUGAACACAGUGUUCAUAAAGGCAGGUCAGUGCAGUGGUUUGGGAGCCAGGAGAAGCACGUGGGCCGGAGUGUGCCUGCAGGAGACAAGGUCAGAGAUGUUGCUAAUAAUGGAGAAUAAAGGAUGCAUUCUCAUUA
ensembl:lncRNA ARLNC1 androgen receptor regulated long noncoding RNA 1